GCCUACGGGGCGCAGCAGUGGGGAAUAUUGCGCAAUGGGCGAAAGCCUGACGCAGCGACGCCGCGUGAGGGAUGAAGGUCUUCGGAUCGUAAACCUCUGUCAGCAGGGAAGAACGGUCACUGUGCUAAUCAGCAGUGAAUUGACGGUACCUGCAAAGGAAGCACCGGCUAACUCCGUGCCAGCAGCCGCGGUAAUACGGAGGGUGCGAGCGUUAAUCGGAAUUACUGGGCGUAAAGCGCUCGUAGGCGGUAUGUCAAGUCAAGGGUGAAAUCCCCGCGCUCCACGUGUGACCUGCCUUUGAAACU
rnacentral:rRNA from 1 species